CGGUUGAUAUCGCUCGCUCCAAACUCCAAAGGUAAUCAAAACGGUUUAUGUUUAUGUAAACUAUUAACAUGAUGCCAGGGUAUCACCAUUGACACUGAAAAGAAGGUUUCUCAGGUUUGUGAUGAUGCUUGACUUACUUCUGGUGUAGCUGUCAUCCACAGCAUCAUUAUGGGUGUUCAGGGGCUGUUGUCUGCCUGUAUGAGGCAGAGAAAUGCUUGUGUUGAUGAAGUUGACCUUGUACAGGUGGCUCGAGAUCAAGGCGGAAUAGAGAUACUUGUAGACUACUACUCUUUUGAGAUGUAUGUUUCGGAGCAGUUUUGGUUUUCAUUGUGUCAUCACCAAAGUAAUGAUUACCUGUGGAUCAUGGGGGGUGAAUAUGCCUCCAUGCACGCUUACCUGAGAAAGCUUAUCUUAGACUUGAAAGCUUUACGCAUCAAUUUAGUGUUUUUUGUGGACGGUGCCAAAGGGGCAUCCACAGAAACGACUCGCGAAAAAAUGGAUACAUGGAUUGAAAGACAUCAUCGUGAUAUCGGAAAGAUAAGCAACAUCAUGCAAGUAUGUUGUGGUGCACUACCUAUCACUGAACUUCAGGAAAAUGUGCGACCACUUCUACAGGAGGAACAAUUUAUACACACCCUGAAACAAUGUGAUUGUGAGGUUUAUCUAGAUCCGGCAGGAGAAGCUGACUGCGUCAUAGCACAAGCUCUGCAUCAGCGUGAGAAAGCUUUCGCAGUGUUCAGCAAUGACUCAGACUUCUGUAUAUUCAAAGACAGCACAUUUAUUCCUAACACACAGUUUGACCUAAUGGGAGACCUCAAGCUAGGCGAAGCAUGUGACAUGCCUAUUAAACCAGAGCGUUUGAUAGUUGGAGUAAUCACAACAAAUCGGGUCAUGUCCAUUCUGGGUCUUCCCAGACAUGACCUCUUGGUUGAACUAAGUAUAGUAGCAGGAAAUGAUUUCACCGGUCCGUACAUGAGAAAUGGACUUCAACGCAAACUUGAGAUCAAAGGUCGUGGGAUUGAAGGUGUGGCUGAAUGGAUCAGAGAGCAGUCUGUACCGGAAACUCACCCAGUCUUUGCUCAGGAAAUGAGACACAAUAUGAGAUUUCGUGGAGCAGUAGUCCACAGUCGUAACUUCUACAACCUUGGAAUUCCCCCAGAGAAACCCAGCAAGACUGGGUACCUGUCCCAGAUUUUGGAGAAGGGAAUUCGAGAAGGUCGCUUUGUUGCUAGGGUGAUGGGAAUACAUAACAACUUCUAUUGGCAUCGUGCAGUCGCAGAGGACAUGAAUCAAGGCCAGCCAUGUGCCGAGGUUGCCUUGACUCCACUCAGAGCUCAUGUGUACAGAAUCGUUCUUCAGCGACAUGAGAGUAUGGUUGAGGAGUAUGGCCGUAGUCCAUGGGAACCUCUAAGAACAGCAGGGGUUUUGGCCGUUGAAGAUGACAUGAUUCCUUCUAUAAACCGUAUACAACCAAAUAAGAUAUUCUGGAAUCUCAAACAUUUCCAUUACAUUAUGUCACACAUGGAACAAAGAACAGGGUCAGAGAGUAAAUGGUUUGAACGCUACGGAAGGAAAACAGGCUUUUCAGUGUAUGUUCUACGGUACUUCCUAUUACUUAACUGGGGUCGCAACCUGUAUGUGACAGAGAAUGAGUUUCUGGCCUUACUGGCGAUGAUGUUGGGACGUCCAUCAGCAGCUAAAUAUCAAGGGUUAUGUAUACGGCCGACACCACGAUGUGUCACCUUGGGCAACUGGUACCAGGACCUAUACUACCAUGCCUACUGUUUCCUGGGAAAAUUGUUGAACAUUAGUCAUGAAUUCCCGCUGCCCAGUGAGGUCUACUCUGGGGCAGUGUGGACAGCCUUCUACACCUGUGCCAAGGAUGAAACUUUCAAGGCAGCACUGCAUCAAGUACCUUUUGAUGUGUUGAGAAAAACCCAAGGAGAAAUGAACGACAUUAUAAAAGAAAAGCGUCACAUGAUUCGAUACAUAGCAGAAGGGGUUUUCCCUUUUGAUGAUCGAUUCUGAUUGGUUGAGAUCAGACACAUUACUAUCAAGAGGACGAGAUAUUUUGAUAAUGAACUCUGAUUGGAUGGUGGUAUCGUGAAUUGCUACCAAAAGGACAAGAUAUUUUGAUGAUGAACUCUGAUUGGAAGGUGGUAUUGUGAAUUGCUACCAAAAGGACAAGAUAUUUUGAUAAUGAACUCUGAUUGGAUGGUGGUAUUGUGAAUUGCUACCAAAAGGAUAAGAUAUUUUGAUAAUGAACUCUGAUUGGAAGGUGGUAUUGUGAAUUGCUACCAAAAGGACAAGAUAUUUUGAUAAUAAACUCUGAUUGGAAGGUGGUAUUGUGAAUUGCUACCAAAAGGACAAGAUAUUUUGAUGAUGAACCCUGAUUGGAUGGUGGAUUGUGAAUUGCUACCAAAAGGACAAGAUAUUUUGAUAAUGAACUCUGAUUGGAUGGUGGUAUUGUGAAUUGCUACCAAAAGGACAAGAUAUUUUGAUAAUAAACUCUGAUUGGAAGGUGGUAUUGUGAAUUGCUACCAAAAGGACAAGAUAUUUUGAUAAUAAACUCUGAUUGGAUGGUGGUAUUGUGAAUUGCUACCAAAAGGACAAGAUAUUUUGAUGAUGAACUCUGAUUGGAUGGUGGAUUGUGAAUUGCUACCAAAAGGACAAGAUAUUUUGAUGAUGAACUCUGAUUGGAAGGUGGUAUUGUGAAUUGCUACCAAAAGGACAAGAUAUUUUGAUAAUGAACUCUGAUUGGAAGGUGGUAUCGUGAAUUGCUACCAAAAGGACAAGAU